rnacentral:rRNA from 1 species
AGUGAACGCUGGCGGUAGGCCUAACACAUGCAAGUCGAACGGCAGCACAGUAAGAGCUUGCUCUUACGGGUGGCGAGUGGCGGACGGGUGAGGAAUACAUCGGAAUCUACUUUUUCGUGGGGGAUAACGUAGGGAAACUUACGCUAAUACCGCAUACGACCUACGGGUGAAAGCAGGGGAUCUUCGGACCUUGCGCGAUUGAAUGAGCCGAUGUCGGAUUAGCUAGUUGGCGGGGUAAAGGCCCACCAAGGCGACGAUCCGUAGCUGGUCUGAGAGGAUGGUCAGUCACACUGGAACUGAGACACGGUCCAGACUCCUACGGGAGGCAGCAGUGGGGAAUAUUGGACAAUGGGCGCAAGCCUGAUCCAGCCAUACCGCGUGGGUGAAGAAGGCCUUCGGGUUGUAAAGCCCUUUUGUUGGGAAAGAAAAGCAGCAGGUUAAUACCCCGCUGUUCUGACGGUACCCAAAGAAUAAGCACCGGCUAACUUCGUG